rnacentral:rRNA from 1 species
AUUGAACGCUGGCGGCAGGCCUAACACAUGCAAGUCGAGCGGCAGCGGGAAAGUAGCUUGCUACUUUUGCCGGCGAGCGGCGGACGGGUGAGUAAUGCCUGGGGAAUUGCCCAGUCGAGGGGGAUAACAGUUGGAAACGACUGCUAAUACCGCAUACGCCCUACGGGGGAAAGCAGGGGACCUUCGGGCCUUGCGCGAUUGGAUAUGCCCAGGUGGGGUUAGCUAGUUGGUGAGGUAAUGGCUCACCAAGGCGACGAUCCCUAGCUGGUCCGAGAGGAUGAUCAGCCACACUGGAACUGAGACACGGUCCAGACUCCUACGGGAGGCAGCAGUGGGGAAUAUUGCACAAUGGGGGAAACCCUGAUGCAGCCAUGCCGCGUGUGUGAAGAAGGCCUUCGGGUUGUAAAGCACUUUCAGCGAGGAGGAAAGGUUGAUGCCUAAUACGUAUCAACUGUGACGUUACUCGCAGAAGAAGCACCGGCUAACUCCGUGCCAGCCGCCGCCGGUAAAAC